rnacentral:lncRNA from 1 species
AGUCUCUAGUUUCCCUUCGGGAGGCGAAGACAUGACGCGGCGGGGCUUCCGCGGGGCCGAGGCGGCGGCGCGGUUCUCGGGCCGGGCGGGCGUGCGCGAGUGAGCUCAGGUGUGAGCGCCGGGGAGCGAGCGGGCGGGAGAACGACGCGCGCGCGUGGGGCGCCGGGGCCGCGCGAGCCGGGAGUGGGCUCCCGAUAAGAGGAUGAAUUCAGCCCUCCUUCCUCUUCUUUCACGUGUUCUCUUGCCCUUCCACCCUCCACCAUGGGAUGACACACCAAGAAGGCCUUCACCAGAUGUGGGCCCUUGACCUUGGACUUCCCAGCCUCCAGAACUAAGGAGAAACCAACUCCAAGUUCUUAUUGGAAUAUUUACAGGGUACUGGAGGGGCUCACAGUAUUAAGGAGAAGACUCCGGCAGCCUCUGAAAGAAAGAAAACUAGGGAAGCUCUGGAAACACCAAUAAACGACCUCUGUCUAGGA